UACGAAGGGGGCUAGCGUUGCUCGGAAUGACUGGGCGUAAAGGGCGCGUAGGCGGCGCUCCAAGUUAGGCGUGAAAGUCCUGGGCUCAACCUGGGAACUGCGCUUGAUACUGGAGUGCUUGAGGAUGGAAGAGGGUCGUGGAAUUCCCAGUGUAGAGGUGAAAUUCGUAGAUAUUGGGAAGAACACCGGUGGCGAAGGCGGCGACCUGGUCCAUUACUGGACGCGAGGCGCGACAGCGUGGGGAGCAAACAGG
rnacentral:rRNA from 1 species